rnacentral:rRNA from 1 species
GCGUGAGUGAAGAAGGUUUUCGGAUCGUAAAGCUCUGUCGUAAGUCAAGAACGAGUGUGAGAGUGGAAAGUUCACACUGUGACGGUAGCUUACCAGAAAGGGACGGCUAACUACGUGCCAGCAGCCGCGGUAAUACGUAGGUCCCGAGCGUUGUCCGGAUUUAUUGGGCGUAAAGCGAGCGCAGGCGGUUUGAUAAGUCUGAAGUUAAAGGCUGUGGCUCAACCAUAGUUCGCUUUGGAAACUGUCAAACUUGAGUGCAGAAGGGGAGAGCGGAAUUCCAUGUGUAGCGGUGAAAUGCGUAGAUAUAUGGAGGAACACCGGUGGCGAAAGCGGCUCUCUGGUCUGUAACUGACGCUGAGGCUCGAAAGCGUGGGGANCGAACAGGAUUAGAUACCCGUGGUAGUCCCAACGUCCGUAAACGAUGAGUGCUAGGUGUUGGAUCCUUUCCGGGAUUCAGUGCCGCAGCUAACGCAUUAAGCACUCCGCUGGGGAUCGACGCAAGGUUGAAACUCAAAGGACUUGACAGUCGUGGGAGCAACGG